AUCAAAAUACCGGUUUCCGUACGAUCACAGAAGCAACAUCGAGCCUGGUCAGUACUUAGAUGGGCGACCGCUUGGGAAUAUCAGGUGCUGUAAGC